GAAGGGUCGGUCCAGUGUGGGAGGUUGGGAAUGAUCCUUCUGGAAGGUGAGGAAUGUUCUGGUGUGGAAGGUGAGGAAUGAUCUGGUGUGGAAAGUUGGGAAUGAUCAUUCUGGAAGGUGAGGAAUGUUCUGGUGUGGAAGGUUGGGAAUGGUUGUAGAAGCUGAGGAAUUUUGUGGUGUGGAAGGUUGGGAUGGUUUUUGUACAAUGUGAAGAAUGUUCUGGUGUGGAAGGUGGGGAAUGAUCAUUCUGGAAGGUGAGGAGUGAUCUGGUGUGGAAGGUGAGGAAGGGUCUGGUGUGGAAGGUUGGGAAUGGUUGUAGAAUGUGAGGAAUGUUCUGGCAUGGAAAGUUGGGAAUGAUCAUUCUGGAAGGUGAGGAAUGUUCUGGUGUGGAAGGUUGGGAUGGUUGUUGUAGAAGGUGAGGAAUGUUCUGGGGUGGAAAGUUGGGAGUGGUCCUUGUAGAAAGUGAGGAAUGAUCUGAUGUGGAAGGUGAGGAAGGGUCUGGUGUGGAAGGUUGGGAAUGAUUAUUCUGGAAGGUGAGGAUUGUUCUGAUGUGGAAGAUGAAGAAUAGUCCAGUGUGGAAAGUGAGGAACGAUCCCUUGUGGAAGGUGGGGAAUGCUCCAGUGUGGAAGUUGAGGAGCAGUUUGAUGUGGAAGGUGAGGAAUGAUUCGGUGAGGAAGGGUCUGAUGUGGAAAAUGAGGGACAAUCCCAUGUGGGAGGUGGAACUUGAGGAGCAAUCCCACGUGCCCUGCCAUGGGUUGCCCCAUGAGAUAUUUUUGGAGUCUAUGGGGAAGGGGUUGGGUGGGAAGGUGAGGAAGGGUCGGUCCAGUGUGGAAGGUUGGGAAUGAUCCUUCUGGAAGUGAGGAAGAGUCUGGUGUGGAAGGUGAGGAAAGCUCCAAUGUGGAAGGUGAGGAGCAAUCCCACGUGGAAGAUGGGGAUGGAUUUUAUGUGAAAGGUGAGGAGCAAUCCCAUGUGGAAGUUGAGGAAAGCUCCAGUGUGGAGCAUGAGGAGCAAUCCCACGUGGAAGAUGGGGAUGGAUUUUAUUUGGAAGGUGAGGAACAAUCCCAUGUGGAAGUUGAGGAAAGCUCCAGGGUGGAGGGUGAGGAACAAUCCCAUGUGGAAGUUGAGGAAAGCUCCAGGGUGGAAGGUGAGGAAAGCUCCAGGGUGGAGGGUGAGGAGCAAUCCCAUGUGGAAGGUGAGGAGCAAUCCCCUGUGGAAGGUGGGGAUGGAUUUUAUUUGGAAGGUGAGGAGCAGUCCCCUGUGGAAGGUGGGGAUGGAUUUUAUUUGGAAGGUGAGAAACAAUCCCAUGUGGAAGGUGAGCAGCAAUUCUGCGUAGAAGAUGGGGGAUGGAUUUUAUUUGGAAGGUGAGGAGCAAUCCCCUGUGGAAGGUGGGGAUGGAUUUUAUUUGGAAGGUGAGGAACAAUCCCAUGUGGAAGGNGGAUGGAUUUUAUUUGGAAGGUGAGGAGCAAUCCCCUGUGGAAGGUGGGGAUGGAUUUUAUUUGGAAGGUGAGGAACAAUCCCAUGUGGAAGGUGGGGAGGCCCUCAGGCCCAUCCCAAAUCCCGCGGCGGGCGCCGAGGAGCGCCCCGGCUCCCGGCAAUUAAACGCUGCUAACGAGGGAAGCGCUCGUUCCGUCCCUCGCGAUUGCUCCUGGCGCAGCCUCUCGACGAGCGCCUUCCAACACGGUUCUGCAGCACUGGAAGGGGAAAAAAAAAUUAAAUAAAUCGAAUCAAAUCUGCAUAUUUUAAGGAGACAGAUUGCUGCCUUCAUCUGGCUCCCUGAUUAGAUGCCAGGGCGGCACCG